rfam:Ovis aries breed Texel chromosome 1, whole genome shotgun sequence.
UCCCUUGUGGCUCAGUUGGUAAAGAAUCUUCCUGCAAAGCAGGAGACCUGGGUUCAAUCCCUGGAAAGGGAA